UGUCUUCUCAUUGUUCUAAAAAUCCCAUUGUUCUCCAUUGUGGAAUUUUAGCAAUUUUAAUUUAUGCAAGAUCAUGAUAAAAAAUUUUCGUCGGUUGGGGAAGUUACGUCGUGGUCAGUUUAAUAGUGGUUGAAAUAUAUCGAAUUUGUGCGAGAAAUCAUUGCCGUGUUCUAUGGCACCGUUUAUCCUGAAAUGGUUGUUACAUGCAGGGAUAUCUAUAAACAUGGUAUCAGGAAAAUAUCUACCCAUACACACAGGG